rnacentral:rRNA from 1 species
UACGUAGGGUGCAAGCGUUGUCCGGAAUUAUUGGGCGUAAAGAGCUCGUAGGCGGUUUGUCGCGUCUGCUGUGAAAACCCGGGGCUCAACCCCGGGCCUGCAGUCGAUACGGGCAGACUAGAGUGCGGUAGGAGAGACUGGAAUUCCUGGUGUAGCGGUGAAAUGCGCAGAUAUCAGGAGGAACACCGGUGGCGAAGGCGGGUCUCUGGGCCGUAACUGACGCUGAGGAGCGAAAGCGUGGGGAGCGAACAGG